rnacentral:ncRNA from 1 species
UAACAACUCACCUGCCGAAUCAACUAGCCCUGAAAAUGGAUGGCGCUUGAGCGAAAGACCUAUACCUAACCAUUGUUGGCAUGUGACACAUGUGAUGAUUAUUAAUUAUCGUCGUGUACGGCUGGCCACAAUGAGUAGGAGGGUCGUAGCGGUUGCGUUGAAGGCGUUAGGUGUAGACCUAGCUGGAGCUUCCGUUAGUGCAGAUCUCGGUGGUAGUAGCAAAUAUUUAAGUUCGAUCCUUGAAGACUGAAGUGGAGAAGGGUUCCACGUGAACAGUAGUUGAAUGUGGGUCAGUCGAUCCUAAGAUACUGGCUUAUGCCUUGUAUUAUUAAGAGAGACAAGUUUCUAUCUUUUCUUUUAGAUAUCGAAAGGGAAUAGGGUUAAUAUUCCCUAACGUAGACACAGAGAUUAUGAUUCGUAUGAACCAUUUGCGCGGUAACGCAUUCGAACUUGGUGAACGUCGCUCAAAAACCGAGCUAGAGUUUGCAUCUUUAGUUAAGGAACGGACUCCCUGGAAUCGGUUCAGCCGUAGAUAGAGACGUUGUUUCCGUAAAGUAUCGCGGUUUCUGUAAUAUCUCGUGUUUUUUGGAAGAUCCAUGAAAAACUAAGUGAGGAUAUUAAUCUGUGCUACAUCGUGCCGAUAGCCGCAUGGGUUCUCCAAGAUGAACAGCCUCUAGUCGAUAGAAUAAUGUAGGUAAGGGAAGUCGGCAAAUUUGAUCAGUAACUUCGGAAAAGGAUUGGCUUGAGUGACCGGGUCGGUUGGCUUGUUAAGUGAUGCUUGUACGGAUCUAUCCAUGACCGAUGUGAAAACGUUAUGUAUACCUGGUUACCAUAGAUUGCCAUGAAGAUUUUAUAUUCUUUUUGCCUCCUUUAGAUGAUUUAUAAAUAACUCAUCAAGUCCAUAGACAUAGCAAGUGAACGAUAAUUAAGUACACCAUCAGAUCUUGCGAUACACUGGUUAUCGAAUCUGUCUAACAUACAGAAAUCCGGCUUUUGAGCUUGCCUAAAUCAAUUACUUUGUUAAAACCAAAACGAUGUAGGGAAGAUGCAAGUAACGUUUUCCGUGUAGUGAACGCCUGGCUAAUGCACCAAAUUGUAGUGAAGUGGCCGAUGUGCCGAAAUUGUAUUGAUGUCAAUAGCAGUGGAUAUCUUAACGCUCACCGUGAGUAGUUUGCCACGCGGGUCUUUUGUACUGCUCGCCUCGAACUGGUGUAAUAGAACCUCAAACUUGUGUAAUUAAACCGUAUGCUCGUUUGACGACGAUGCUGUAAAAUAAAGAGUGAGUGAAGAUCCCAGAUGUCAGCAGGUUUUUGUCGGAAGCAGAAGCAGCGUAUGUCCGUCUUAUAAUCACGAUACUGAAGAUUGGAUGAAGAUCCCAGAGUUGAGUGCGUGUCUCCGUCAGAAGCAAAGGCAGCUGCACUAGGUGUUACCCAGUUAAGAGUUGACAUCCAGACC